UGUGGGAGAAGAGAGGGGCAAGUGGGAAGCUCCAGGAGGAAUGGCUGAUGAGGAGCCGAGGCUCGCUGUGCCGGACACUUUGAUGUUUAAAUAUCCCCGGUCUCAGAUGCCACAGCAGAUCCAGAUGUCGGUGCGGCCCCAGACCUGCAGAACAGCGCAUGGGAGAAU
rnacentral:lncRNA from 1 species